GUCAGAGGGUAUGCCGUCAUCCACUAGGAGUGGUCCUCUUAUGUCCUUGCAAACCAAAUAGGGGAGGGAGAAAUAGAUAUUCCGAAGGGUAAGGGGUAUAGAUACCCCUCAGAGAUAAAAAGCCUAAUAAGAUACUUGAUGCAAUAUAUAUGUCAAUACAUAUAUACUUCAUACCAAUCAUGCUUCAUUCCAUAUUUCUCUUUUCUUUU
rnacentral:lncRNA from 1 species